GAUGAACGCUGGCGGCGUGCCUAAUACAUGCAAGUCGAGCGAACGGACGAGAAGCUUGCUUUUCUGAUGUUAGCGGCGGACGGGUGAGUAACACGUGGAUAACCUACCUAUAAGACUGGGAUAACUUCGGGAAACCGGAGCUAAUACCGGAUAAUAUUUUGAACCGCAUGGUUCAAAAGUGAAAGACGGUCUUGCUGUCACUUAUAGAUGGAUCCGCGCUGCAUUAGCUAGUUGGUAAGGUAACGGCUUACCAAGGCAACGAUGCAUAGCCGACCUGAGAGGGUGAUCAGCCACACUGGAACUGAGACACGGUCCAGACUCCUACGGGAGGCAGCAGUGGGGAAUCUUCCGCAAUGGGCGAAAGCCUGACGGAGCAACGCCGCGUGAGUGAUGAAGGUCUUCGGAUCGUAAAACUCUGUUAUUAGGGAAGAACAUAUGUGUAAGUAACUGUGCACAUCUUGACGGUACCUAAUCAGAAAGCCACGGCUAACUACGUG
rnacentral:rRNA from 1 species